rnacentral:tRNA from 1 species
GGAGCUGUGCUUGAACGCCCAAGGACCAGGGGAUAGAGUGACCUAUGGAGGAUAAAAUCCUCCCGACUCU